rnacentral:misc_RNA from 1 species
UCUCCGUAGGUGAACCUGCGGAGGGAUCAUGACAGAGUUCUCGCCCUCGCGGGUAGACGUCCCACCCACUGUUAUCGUUACUGUGUUGCUUUGGCGGGCCGCCGGGCCCCGCUCUGCCGCCGGCUCCGGCUGGCGCGCGCCCGCCAGAGGCCCAGCAAACUCUGAAUGUUAGUGUCGUCUGAGUACUAUAUAAUAGUUAAAACUUUCAACAACGGAUCUCUUGGUUCUG